rnacentral:rRNA from 1 species
ACCCAAUAGAUACCCGGGUAGUCCACGCCCUAAACGAUGCAGACUAGACUGCAGCGGGUUACACCCCGUUGCGGUCGGAGCGAAAAUUAGUUAAGUCUGCCACCUGGGAAGUACGGUCGCAAGGCUAAAACUACAAAGGAAUUGACGGGGGCGUCACACAAGCGGUGGAGCAUGUGGCUCAAUUCGAAGCAACGCGAAGAACCUUAUCCUGGACUUGACAUGGUAGAAGUAGGACCCAGAAAUGGUUACGACCGGUAUCCAAUCCGGAACUAUCACAGGUGCUGCAUGGCUGUCGUCAGCUCGUGCUGUGAAGUGUCGGGUUAAGUCCCAUAACGAGCGAAACCCGUUAUCGUUAGUUGCCAGCAUGUAAUGGUGGGCACUCUAACGAGACUGCCGGUGUUAAACCCGGAGGAAGGCGGGGUAUGACGUCAAGUCCUCAUGGCCUUUAUGUCCAGGGUCUGCACACGUGCUACAAUGCGGCUGACAAACCGAGCAAGACCGUAAGGUGGAGCAAAUCGGAGAAAAACGCCGCCCAGUUCAGAUUGA